AGUGAAGGAGCUGCUUGAUCUAAAGCAGAGUCGAACCUGUCGACUGGAGACUCUGAGGUGGAGGUGGGAUUACUGAGUGAAGCUGAGUGUGGACGGAGGCUGAGCUGUGUCCUGAGGAUCCAGAGGCUGAAGCAGCAGCAGCUUGUGUGUAGAACGGCUCUGACUGGGCCUUGUUGCUGGGAGGCAGUGGAGACAGAGCUCCAGAGGAAUCAGAGGAGGUGGUUGUAAUAUGUAACUUCACCACUAGAUGGCCCUCCACACGAUUGUGUUUAUUCACAUAAAAAAUGUGUUUAUUGAAAUGACACAACACAAGCAGAAUAUAUAACCCCUCUGUAAAGAGUCACAUAUAUGUGUUUAAGUUUUUUAAAAUUAUUUUCCACCUUUGUCUCUCAGUAUGUCUCCAUGUGUGUAGAACCACAUUCUGUUUGUUUAACACAAACUUAAACACAAUCAAAUCACUUUGAGUUUAAAAUCACAGUUUUGUCUUUGACAAAAAGGUCACAACUCUAGACUUAAAAAUGGGACGUUUUCAUUUGUGCAUCAAGUGCAGAGCAGUGGUGGCUUUUCUACUUUUGACCCACAGGUGACGCUGUAGUAUUACAACAGCACAUCCCAGUCAAAGCCUUUAUAUUCAGUCUAUGAGUCAAACACAUGGAUAAUUUCCUCUGUGACAAAUUAGAUGUAACGAGAAGAAAAACAUCUCAGAGAGAAAAGUUCUGUUUCUACUUGUCUCUGCUUUAAUGCUCAAUAAACAUCCUUCCACCGACUUCA